ACUUAGUUGGUGGGGUAAUGGCCUACCAAGACUACGAUCUAUAGCUCGUUUGAGAGGAUGAUCAGCAACACUGGGACUGAGACACGGCCCACACUCCUACGGGAGGCAGCAGUGGGGAAUCUUAGUCAAUGGGGGCAACCCUGAUCUAGCGAUGCCGCGUGAGUGAUGAAGGCCUUAGGGUCGUAAAGCACUUUCGCCUGUGAUGAUAAUGACAGUAGCAGGUAAAGAAACCCCGGCUAACUCCGUGCCAGCAGCCGCGGUAAUUCGGAGGGGGUUAGCGUUG
rnacentral:rRNA from 1 species